CUUUCGCACGCUGUCCAAGCCUGCGCCCUCGCCCUCGCCCUCCGCCCUCGCCCAGUCGUUCUCGUUUGCCACUGUCCUCCUAUCCCCAAUCUGCUAGCACAUUGACCACCCAAUCCAUGGCCUCAGCCACUCGACACUCGGGGUCUCGAUCCAUACUGCGAGCCAAACCCAAUCCGAAUUAACAAUAUCCUAGAUCCUCGCAUGAGGCAAAGGCAUAGAGCUUGGGGAUCUCGUGCUACCUCAAGCCAGAAGCCAAACCCCACAUCUGCUCACUCUUCUAGGCAAUAGUCGCAAGCUCGACGCCCUCUCGAUUCCGCCGGUCUGCCCUGCGACCGCAGAAGAGUCCAGGGACUCCUCGUCGGCGAACACGAUUCUGGUUCCCGCUGCUGUGGAAGACUACAACAAACGUCCUCAGCCUUGGCAUCUACGGACUCCUGCCCUCUCUCCUCAUCCUAUACUGCCACAGUUCUUGGCACGGAGGCGGUGGUCGCGGCGCCACGCGCGCUGGUGACAGUAGCUGCGUCGACAGCUAAUGCGCUGGAUACUGUGCGUCAAUUUAUGAGGUGGUGGCCAUUGUGACGAUGGGCUCAUCGCGGUCGGUAGGUAGAAGAAGGCGAAGAGGACGUCCCUGAGGUACCCGAGCUCCCGCGCCGGUGGCAGGAACAGCGCGCGCAGGAGGACUGUUUGCGCGGCAGCGGCGCGGCGUGGGUAGCUGUGCUGGAGACUAGGGCGGUGGAAGCUAGCAGGAGAGCUAGCUCUACCUCACCGCGAUUCAGCCGGCAGCUGACGUCCGCCAGAGGGGAGCUCGGCGCUGAGGUGGCUGGCGGUCCCUCGAGCCACUCGGGGGCGUUUGCACGCCAUCUGUUCGAUGCUUUGCGGCUCCGCGACUGAAGUGGAUUACAGAGUUUUUUUAUAUCCAGUUUCUCCGACAUGGACCCAGUAGAAAAAAUGGUGGUCAUACUCCACUAGGAGAUUUGACAAACACUACCAACGGAGUUGAUGACGCUAAGCAACGAAAAAGGGAAAGGGAAAGAGCACGAUAUGCAACAAGGACUGAACAACAGAGGAAUGAAUACAACAAGAAGCAUCGUGAACAAUAUCGAAUGAAAAAGGCAAAAACUACACUUGUGCAUGGGGCAAUAGGUGACACUGCAAACAAAUUUAAACGAAGCAAUGUGCCUUACCCUUCUGUAUAUUAUUUAUAUUUAUUUUUUAUAAUAACUAUCUUGUAGCUGGUGGGGUUGCAUUAGACAAGGAUGGCAUGAAUAAUAGUGAAAAUGACGAUUGGUUGCAUAAAAAUGAUUCAUACCAACCCAUGCAGAUCGGUAAAGAGAGUCUAGGUACUAUUUAUUUUAUUGUUAUUAGUUUUUUUCCUAGAUUACGGUGUCAUUGCAUAAUAUAUGUUUUGUACAAAUAAGAGAGAUUCCUAGAGAGAUUUUUGAGGAGGCUAGCAUUGAGGCUAACGAGGAUGAUGUGGCUCUGUCAGACACCCUUAAUGAGGAGGCAGCAGGCUGCAUACGAUGAGAUUAUGUCCUCAGUUGGUACCGAACAUGGGGGUCUAUUUUUUGUGGAUGGUCCUGAUGGGACCGGAAAAACUUAUUUGUACAAAGCACUUCUUGCUACUAUACGCAGUCAGAAAAAGAUUGCUAUGGCAACAACUACAUCUGGUGUCGCAACCUCAAUAAUGCCUGGUGGCAGAACCGCCCACUCACGCUUCAAGAUUCCCCUCACCAUUGAUAAUGGAGCCUUUUGCACUUUCACAAAACAGAGCGGUACUGCCAAGCUGCUUCAAGCAGCAUCUCUCAUAAUUUGGGACGAGGCUAGCAUGACAAAGAGGUAGGCUGUCGAGGCACUAGACAAUAGUCUCCGUGAUAUAAUGAACCGACCAGAGCUGCCUUUUGAAGGGAAGACUGUGGUGUUCGGUGGAGAUUUCAGACAAGUUCUUCCUGUUAUUCGAAGAGGGUCAAGGGCUCAGAUAGUUAGUGCCUCGCUACAGAUGUCUUAUCUUUGGGAUUCCAUGCGACAUCUAAAAUUAGUGUGCAACAUGAGGGCAAAGAGUGACCAAUGGUUUGCAGAAUACUUGUUGCGCAUCGGUGGAGGUUCUGAGGAGGCGACUAUUGAUGAUCAAAUUUGUCUUCCUCAUGAUGUAUGUGUACCGCACACCGGGAAGAUAGUGACCUUGAUACUCUAAUUGAUUGCAUAUUCCUUAAUCUCAAUACAAAUAUUUCAAGCAAAGAUUAUAUCACCUCUCGAGCGAUAUUUACGCGGAACGACUCGGUCGAUAUGAUUAAUAUGAAGAUGAUAGAUCGUUUCUACGGGGAUGAGAUGGUGUACCACAACUUUGAUUGUGCGGUGAAUGAUCCGCACAACUACUACCCAGAAGAAUUUCUUAACACUUUGACACCCAAUGGUCUACCUCCACAUGUGCUAAAGCUGAAGAUUGGUUGUCCGGUUAUAUUGCUUAGGAACAUUGACCCUGCGAACAGACUUUGUAACGGUACUAGACUUAUCAUACAGGGGUUCAAAAAAA